rnacentral:rRNA from 1 species
UACGUAGGGUGCGAGCGUUUGUCCGGAAUUAUUGGGCGUAAAGGGCUCGUAGGCGGUCUGUUGCGUCGGGAGUGAAAACUCAGGGCUUAACCCUGAGCCUGCUUCCGAUACGGGCAGACUAGAGGUAUGGCAGGGGAGAACGGAAUUCCUGGUGUAGCGGUGAAAUGCGCAGAUAUCAGGAGGAACACCGGUGGCGAAGGCGGUUCUCUGGGCAUUACCUGACGCUGAGGAGCGAAAGUGUGGGGAGCGAACAGG